rnacentral:rRNA from 1 species
GACGAACGCUGACGGCGUGCUUAACACAUGCAAGUCGAAGGGAGUGGCGAAAGGGUGAGUAACACGUGAGUAACCUGCCCUUUUCUUUGGGAUAAGCCUGGGAAACUGGGUCUAAUACUGGAUGGGUUGGGCUGGGCUAGCGGCUUAUCGGCUUGUUGGUGGGGUGAUGGCUUACCACGGCUUUGACGGGUAGCCGGCCUGAGAGGGGGGUCGGUCACAGUGGGACUGAGUGACGGGCCAGACUACUACGGGAGGCAGCAGUGGGGGAUAUUGCACAAUGGACGAAAGUCGGAUGCAGCGACGUCGUGUGGGGGAUGAAGGCCUGCGGGUUGUAAACUCCUUUCGCCCGCGGAAUGGUAGUGGGUAAAGAAGCGCCGGCUAACUACGUGCCAGCAGCCGCGGUAAUUC